UCCCAUCUAGCGGUGAAAUAGUAUUUAGCAUUCAAACGCAUAGUGCUCUUUAGCAUGUCGCAACUACGGUAGCCAUUAUGUACCAAGAGCUAUGACAACAUGUCUUCCAAUAUUCGCUUUUUUGGCGACGAGAAUUCCUUCUCCUGUGGCUCGACCUCGUUUCAGUCAAGUGAUGCUGGCUCUGAACGAAAACGCGUUGUGGAUUAGCUAGACAGGUGCAGAUGGAUUCCUCCUCUCUGCCCCUAUACCGCCGCAUCCUACAGCAAAGGAGCCGUCAAAAAAAUCUGAAGCGUGCUGUGCAGAGAGUGAAUAUGAAAGGUGUGAGGUGUUGUUCCCAAGGAGCCUUUCUCUUCUGUAACAUUUCCAACACAAUGCUCUGGAGUAGGCCAAACUGGACUGCACAUCUGUCAAUUAAAUAGUCCGUAAUCCAGGGAAGCCAUGCUGCUGUCCACCUUUUUCACUUUGAGCUUCACCCGUAGGGGGUCGGAUGGCCAUGAAAGCAGUGCAAUCAAAAAGCAUGAUUGCCAUCACGCAACCACCUCUCUGGGUGGGGAGUAAGCCCUGCCGAGCUGGUACAGUACGUGAUGAAAUUGUCCACAAUUAUUAUGGUACUCUGGCUGAAAAGAAUACGCUACCUUUGAUUGGAGUAAAAUGUAUGUAUUUAUUUUCAUAUUAUGAUGUGAUAUUAUUUUUCGAGUUAUAAUUGGACAACUGAGGAUUGAGCUAAAAUGUACAAGAAC